GGGCGGUUAGCUCAGUCGGUUAGAGCACCUGCCUUACAAGCAGGGGGUCCACGGUUCGAGUCCGUGACCGCCCACCA
rnacentral:tRNA from 1 species